rnacentral:lncRNA from 10 species
UCAACAUUUGCUGUACACAUGUGUUCACUUGUUAUUCAUUUGUUUGUUGAUUCAUUUAUUUACAGCAAAGUUUUACUCUUGAAGUGUGUUGUCCAGACUGGGGAAGGGCCAUCACCAGGGCAGAACCCAUUAGAGCUUCUAAUGUUGAAGAUCACCUGUGAAUAGUCAGAUAGCAACAAAGGGGACACAAUUUUUUAAUAAUCUCAGUCCUCUUAGGAAUGAGCCAUCAGUUCAGCGCCACCCUUCCCCAAGAGGUUGAUGGGCCCAGGAAAGAGCGAGGAGCCAGGACUCCUAUAUGUGAUGAACACUGUCCUUGGUGCCACACACAUAAUGAUGAGUCCAUCAAUAUCCCAUCUUCAAACAGGUCAAUCUAACAAACACUACUCAGAGCUGUCUGGAGGGAGGCAAAAGAGACUAGAACCUUGAGGACACUCACCACAUUUACCUUUCCAUAUCAAAUCAACAUUUGAACAUGGAAGGAGAGCAAAGGACAUCCCAGAAUUUGAGAGAUGAGGUCAUGGGAAGUAGCAAAGACACAGCAUGAAGGAAUUGAGUAGGGGCCAAGCAGGAUGCUUCGGUCCGGAGCAGUUGGUGAUUCCCCUUAACGUGAGAAAGAUAAGGCAUCCAGGUGUAGGGAAAUCUUGGAAAAUCAGGAUGGGUGAGAGAACAUGAACACAGAACACAAGGAGACCUCUUGAAACUGGAAAAAGGAAGUCAGAAAAGGACCUGAUGGAGGAAAAUCAGUUUCCAAAAAGGAGUUCAUUCUCUGCUAGUAAACAUGACAUUCUCUUCAUCUGAAUCUGAAUAAAGUGGAGAGGAAAUAAGUGAACUCCUCCAUUGCUUUAUUUAGAGUUGAACUGGGUUUAAUAUAUGAAGCAGUAGAGAGGAGAGUAAUCACCAUUACUAUUCAAAGCAACCUCAUUCAUAGUGGCCUGUGAUGCAUGGUUUUCUCAGGCUUUAUCAGGUCAUUUUGCCAUGCAGGGGGCUCCAGUGCAGGGUCUGUAGCAAGUGGCAAGGCAGGUAAUAGUGCCAUAAUUUCAGACAAUUGGGAAUCAGACCCCAGGGAGAAAGUUGGCUUUGAUAUUCAGAUCCAGAUACCUAGGCUGUCUGUAAGAGAAUAAGAUUUAGUAGAGGUGUAAAUAGAAAUAGAAAUGCUAAAGAGGAAAACUGAGGCAGAAGGCCAGAAAUGGAGUCAGCUCUGAGGAGCAAGGGGAAGAACGAGAGUGGAUUUGAUGGCCAGAGUUUUGCCAGCCUUGGAAGGCUGGGGCCUAUGGCAGUAAGACACUUACUCUUGUGGCUGUGACAGACAAAAUGUCUGGUCAGGAUUAUCUCAGGGGGAGAGCAGAAUUGAGGCUUCAGGUCAACAUCAUCAGUAGUGGCAGCUGAGGGGAUUUAGCAUGGGCAUAGUAGGGGGGCAGAACAGCCUAAGAGGCUAAAAUCAUAACUCCCUGGCAUUCCAAUGUUGCAAUAAAUGAAAGGAUUGCAGAGGGCCAGAGAGAUGACUGUGGGAGAAAGAAUAAAUACAGGCUUUGAAGUCCAUCAGACCUGGAUUUUAUUUCUAUCUCUGAUAAUGAUGAUGACGAUGGUGAUGACGAUGAUGGUAGUGAUACUGAUGAUGAUGAUGUUGAUGAGUACAUUGAGGGUAAGUGAGAUAAUGAAUAACACAUCCUUUGAGCAUAGUGAGCAAUCAACCUAGGUCAGUUCUUAUUGCUAAGAAGACAUGGAAUUUUCCCUGGAUCAACCACAUUCCUAUCUCUUCGCAUGACAGCUGUUGCCUGACACUUUGGUUCUAAGUCCCUACUUCCUCCAGAAUAACCACUACCACCACCAGCACAAUAACAGUAAUUAAAAAUAAAUAAAUAAAUAAAUAAAUAAACUAACACAUAUAGGGUAAUUAUUAUAUGUACAUCAUUCCAAGUGUUUUUAACAAUAUUGUUUUCAUGCUCAUCCAUGUGAAGAGACCACCAAACAGGCUUUGUGUGAGCAACAUGGCUGUUUAUUUCACCUGGGUGCAGGCGGGCUGAGUCCGAAAAGAGAGUCAGCAAAGGGAGAUAAGGGUGGGGCCGUUUUAUAGGAUUUGGGUAGGUAAAGGAAAAUUACAGUCAAAGGGGGUUUGUUCUCUGGCGGGCAGGAGUGGGGGGUCGCAAGGUGCUCAGUGGGGGUGCUUUUUGAGCCAGGAUGAGCCAGGUAAAGGACUUUCACAAGGUAACCUCAUCACUUAAAGCAAGGACCGGCCAUUUACACUUCUUUUGUGGUGGAAUGUCAUCAGUUAAGGCGGGGCAGGGCAUAUUCACUUCUUUUGUGAUUCUUCAGUUACUUCAGGCCAUCUGGGCAUAUACCUGCAAGUCACAGGGGAUGCGAUGGCUUGGCUUGGGCUCAGAGGCCUGACAUUCCUGCCUUCUUAUAUUAAUAAGAAAAAUAAAACAAAAUGGUGUUGAAGUGUUGGGGCGGCGAAAAUUUUUGGAGGGUGACAUGGAGAGAGAAUGGGCGAUGUUUCUCAGGGCUGCUUCAAGCGGGAUUAGGGGUGGCGUGGGAACCUAGAGUGGGAGAGAUUAAGCUGAAGGGAGGUCUUGUGGUAAGGGGUGAUAUUGUGGGGAUGUUAGAAGAAACAUUUGUCGUAUAGAAUGAUUGGUGAUGGCCUGGAUACGGUUUUGGAUGAAUUGAGAAACGAAAUGGAAUAAGAGAAGGAGAAAAAUAGGUAUAAAAGGUUUAAGAAUUGGGACGACUCAGGAUAUCUGAUUAGAGAGUGCCUCAGGAGAUUCAGCAUAGUCCUGCCAGCAAAGAUUAUUUAUUUACUUCAAGAGUUUAGAGUGGCAGUUUGGGGAUAGCACCAGGAGAUAUCAGCUGUGAUGGCUUGGAGAAACAGUGUAAACCGGCAGUGUAAACAAGAGCAGGGCAUGUAUGAGUAGUUGAGAACGAUGAAUAGGAGUAUGACUAGACAAAAGAUAGUAGGGAUGACAAGUUUUUUUGGGGGCACAGUCUAAGUUGCUCUGGUGUCGAAUGAGACUGGGGCCUAAUAAAAAGGAGCGUCUAUACAGGAGCUUAAAUGGGCUCCUGUACACCUUGUAGCAUUCUGAGGACAGGCCUGAAUUCUGAGAAGCAAAAGUGGUAAAAGUAUUGUCCAGUCCUUUUUAAGUUGGUGGCUGAGCUUGGUGAGGUGUGUUUUUAAAAGACCUUUAGUCCACUCUACUUUUCUUGAAGGCGGAGGACCAUAAGGGAUAUAAAGGUUUCACUGAAUACUAAGAGCCUGAAAAACUGCUUGGCUGAUUUGACUAAUAAAGGCUCAUCUGUUAUCAGACUGUAUAGAGGUGGGAAGGCUAAACUGAGGAAUUAUGUCUGACAGAAGGGAAGAAAUGACUGCGGUGGCCUUCUCAGACCCUGUAGGAAAGGCCUUUACUUAUUCAGUGAAAGUGUCUAUUUAGACUAACAGGUAUUUUAGUUUCCUGACUCGGGCAUGUUGAUUAAAACUAAUUUGCCAGUCCUGGGUGGGGGCAAAUCCUUGAGCUUGAUGUGUAGGGAAGGGAGGGGGCCUGAAUAAUCCCUGAGGAGUAGUAGAAUAGCAGAUGGAACACUGAGAAGUUAUUUCCUUGAGGAUAGAUUUCCACGAUGGAAAGGAAAUGAGAGGUUCUGAGAGGCGGGCUAGUGGCUUGUACUAUAGCAUAACCUGCCUUUGCUGGUGUGUGGCGAUUAGGCCUGGUGGAACCUCCAUCAAUAAAUCAAGCGUGAUCAGGGUGAGGAACAGGAAAGAAGGAAAUCUGGGGAAAUGGGAUGAAUGUCAGGUGGAUCAGACAGAUACAGUCAUGGGGGUCAGGUGUGGUAUCAGGAAUAAUGUGGGAGGCUGGAUUGAAGUCUGGGCCAGGAACAAUGGUAAUUGUGGGAGACUCAACAAAGAGUGAGUACAGCUGAAGGAGCCAGGAAGCAGAAAGUAUAUGCGUCAGGUAUGAGGAAGAAAAUAGAUUUUGGAAGUUAUGAGAAAUGUAGCGAGUGAGUUGAGCAUAGUUUGUGAUUUUUAGGGCCUCUAACAGUAUUAAAGCAGUGGCAGCCGCUGCAGGCAGACAUGAGGGCUAGGCUAAAACAGUAAGGUCAAGUUGUUUGGACAGAAAGGCUACAGGGUGUGGUCCUGGCUCUUGUGUAAGAGUUCUGACCACACUAACCAUGUUUAGGAAGGAAAGGAGUUGUUGUUUUGUAGAAGGUGCUGGGGUUUGAGAGAUCAGUCGGACACUAUUGGCAGGGAGAGCACGUGUGUUUUUAUGAGAAUUAUGCCGAGAUAGGUAACAGAUGAGGAAGAAAUUUGGGCUUGAUGGAAGUAAUGGGGGCUGUCUGUGAAGCUUUGCAGCAGUACAGCCUAGGUAAUUUGCUGAGCUUGAUGGGUGUCAGGGUCAGUCCAAGUGAAAGUGGAGAGAGGCUGGGAUGAAGGGUGCAAAGGAAUAGUAAAGAAAGCAUGUUUGACAUCUAGAACAGAAUAAUGGGUUAUAGAGGCAGGUAUUGAGGAUAGGAGAGGAUAUGGGUUUGGCACCAUAGGGUGGAUAGGCAAAACAAUUUGGUUGAUAAGGCACAGAUCCGGAACUAACUUGUAAGGCUUGUCUGGUUUUAGGACAGGUAAAAUGGGAGAAUUGUAAGGAGAGUUUAUAGGCUUUAAAAGGCCAUGCUGUAGCAGGAGAGUGAUAACAGGCUUUAAUCUUUUUAAAGCGUGCUGUGGGAUGGGAUAUUGGCGUUGAGUGGGGUAAGGGUGAUUAGGUUUUAAUGAGAUGGUAAGGGGUGCAUGAUCAGUCGCCAAGGAGGGAGUAGAGGUAUCUUAUACUUGUGGGUUAAGGUGGGGGGAUACAAGAGGAGGACGCAAAGGAGGCUUUGGAUUGGGAAGAAGGGCAGCAAUGAGAUAUAGCUGUAGUCCAGGAAUAGUCAGGGAAGCAGAUAAUUUAGUUAAAGUGUCUCAGCCUAAUAAGGGAACUGGGCAGGUGGGGAUAACUAAAAAGGAGUGCUUAAAAGAGUAUUUUCUGAGUUGGCACUAGAGUUGGGGAGUUUUAAGAGGUUUAGAAGCCUGGCCGUCAAUACCCACAACAGUUAUGGAGGCAAGGGAAACAGGCCCUUGAAAAGAAGGUAAUGUGGAGUGGGUAGCCUCCAUAUUGAUUAAGAAGGGGACGGGCUUACCUUUCACUGUGAGAGUUACCCAAAGCUCGGCGUUCGUGAUGGUCUAGGGGGCUUCCGAGGCGAUCGGGCAGUGUCAGUCUUCAGCCGCUAAGCCGAGAAGAUCUGGGAAGGAGUCAGUCAGAGAGCCUUGGGCCAGAGUUCCAGGGGCUCUGGGAGUGGCUGCCAGGCAUGUGGAAAAUCAACCGGAACUUCAGCUGGUGGCUUAAUGAGAUAAUUUUGAGACCUGUUUCUCCUAGACUGUAAGAGGUAGAUGAAAUCCUCCACCACAUCAGAGGACACCUCUCAGAGUAUGGAAUAUAGUACAUCCUCCAGAAUCAGCUGGGAACAAUGACUGCCAAAAGUGUCCAGAGGAAGUCUGCAGGACCUGGGUCUCUCCUAGGUGGAAUAUUCUUUGAAAUCAGCAGGGAACAGAUGUCCACAUCCUGGACUCAGGAAUUUGCGCAGAAGGAGACACUCCAAGCAGUGCUCCGACACACAAGAGGCCCCAGGAAUUCGGAGACCUGAGUAACCCCAAGGAAGCCCUGGCCGCACUCAGGCUGCUGUUUUCAGGCAAAACUAAACAACUCAUAUCAGUCCAAGCACAAAGGAUACUCUCCAAGGAUCAUGGACAUGGAGGUUUGGAUUGAUUUGCAUUCUUUUGCCAAGGAAAGCAUUAACUGGCCCUUUGGGAAGCCCACCUAGUCAAAGGCUAAAAGCUUUAUUGUGCCUGGAGGACAAUCUGCACUUCCGCUCCUUCGGGACUCACCUACUCUCGUGGUAAUUCCAUGCCAAACCACAACCUCCUAGGAAAUGGAUCUGACUCUGAGUCAGAGAUGCGUUCCAAGUCCUAGGGCUAUUGGCCCCGCCAACUUAUAUCCUCACCCCUUGACUGCCAUUUCUCUCUUUUGCCAAUACUGACACUAAUUGUAGAGUUCCCCAACUCCACGCUGCCACUUGCUUAUUUCGUUAUUAUUGCUCAACCUGUGUGACUAUUUUGGAGGACAGAGAUUCCUAGGUCUCUGUAUCUGGAUCUUUCUCUAAGCUGGCAAGUAACCUGCUUUAUCUAACCUUCCUACUGUCAGUGACCCAAGCAGUAGAAGUCACCUCCCUAAUUGUCUUCUAUGAGUUGGAAACCAAAUAAAAAGAUUUAUUAGAAAUAUGUAUAGAGUUAGAGCCUGUGUGUACUGACUGAAGUUCUAAAGGC